ACAUGUACAUGCCUACAAUGUUAAUGUACCAAAUCCAAUUAGAACUCCACAAUUUAGCACACUUAGGCUAGAGUAGUAUUGGGAUGGAUGACCUCUUGGAAAGUCCUAGUGUUUUACAUGUC
rnacentral:rRNA from 1 species